CACCGGCGGCUCGAGUGGUGGCCACUUUUAUUGGGUCUAAAGCGUCCGUAGACGGCUUGGCAAGUCCCCUGGGAAAUCUGGCGGCUUAACCGUCAGGCGUCCAGAGGAUACUGCCAGGCUUGGGACCGGGAGAGGUGAGAGGUACCUCAGGGGUAGGGGUGAAAUCUUGUGAUCCCUGAGGGACCACCAGUGGCGAAGGCGUCUCACUAGAACGGGUCCGACGGUCAGGGACGAAAGCUGGGGGCACGAACCGG
rnacentral:rRNA from 1 species